rnacentral:rRNA from 1 species
CCUACGGGUGGCAGCAGUCGAGAAUCAUUCACAAUGGGGGAAACCCUGAUGGUGCGACGCCGCGUGGGGGAAUGAAGGUCUUCGGAUUGUAAACCCCUGUCAUGUGGGAGCAAAUUAAAAAGAUAGUACCACACGAGGAAGAGACGGCUAACUCUGUGCCAGCAGCCGCGGUAAUACAGAGGUCUCAAGCGUUGUUCGGAAUCACUUGGCGUAAAGCGUGCGUAGGCUGUUUCGUAAGUCGUGUGUGAAAGGCGCGGGCUCAACCCGCGGACGGCACAUGAUACUGCGAGACUAGAGUAAUGGAGGGGGAACCGGAAUGCACGGUGUAGCAGUGAAAUGCGUAGAUAUCGAGAGGAACACUCGUGGCGAAGGCGGGUUCCUAGACAUUAACUGACGCUGAGGCACGAAGGCCAGGGGAGCGAAAGGGAUUAGAUACCCCAGUAGUC